AGUGAACGCUGGCGGUAGGCCUAACACAUGCAAGUCGAACGGCAGCACAGUAAGAGCUUGCUCUUACGGGUGGCGAGUGGCGGACGGGUGAGGAAUACAUCGGAAUCUACUUUUUCGUGGGGGAUAACGUAGGGAAGCUUACGCUAAUACCGCAUACGACCUACGGGUGAAAGCAGGGGAUCUUCGGACCUUGCGCGUUUGAAUGAGCCGAUGUCGGAUUAGCUAGUUGGCGGGGUAAAGGCCCACCAAGGCGACGAUCCGUAGCUGGUCUGAGAGGAUGAUCAGCCACACUGGAACUGAGACACGGUCCAGACUCCUACGGGAGGCAGCAGUGGGGAAUAUUGGACAAUGGGCGCAAGCCUGAUCCAGCCAUACCGCGUGGGUGAAGAAGGCCUUCGGGUUGUAAAGCCCUUUUGUUGGGAAAGAAAAGCAGCAGGUUAAUACCCCGCUGUUCUGACGGUACCCAAAGAAUAAGCACCGGCUAACUUCGUG
rnacentral:rRNA from 1 species